rnacentral:rRNA from 1 species
UACGAAGGGGGCUAGCGUUGCUCGGAGUCACUGGGCGUAAAGCGCACGUAGGCGGCUUGUUAAGUCAGGGGUGAAAUCCUGGAGCUCAACUCCAGAACUGCCUUUGAUACUGGCGAGCUUGAGUUCGGGAGAGGUGAGUGGAACUGCGAGUGUAGAGGUGAAAUUCGUAGAUAUUCGCAAGAACACCAGUGGCGAAGGCGGCUCACUGGCCCGAUACUGACGCUGAGGUGCGAAAGCGUGGGGAGCAAACAGG